rnacentral:rRNA from 1 species
UACGAAGGGGGCUAGCGUUGUUCGGAAUUACUGGGCGUAAAGCGCGCGCAGGCGGUCUUCCAAGUCAGUGGUGAAAGCCCGGAGCUCAACUCCGGAACUGCCAUUGAAACUGUUAGACUUGAGGAUGAGAGAGGUGAGUGGAAUUCCCAGUGUAGAGGUGAAAUUCGUAGAUAUUGGGAAGAACACCGGUGGCGAAGGCGGCUCACUGGCUCGGUACUGACGCUGAGGUGCGAAAGCGUGGGGAGCAAACAGG